CAUGACACGACCCGUCCCGAUCACCCUAAUGGAUCCGACACGUGUCGUGCGCCGAUGGUAGAUACCAGCUAAAUGCCGGACCCACCACCAAGGCAAACUUGACAUGCUUUGACUGUAAUAAUUUUAUAAAAAUUUCGGCAGAGUUUCCUCUGAAAAAUGGACUAAAACCACCUGAGAAUAAAACCAAAAAUCCCAAACAUAUACACAUACUUUAAAAUAGGGUACACAAGCCCAUCAAAAUACUAAUUCAUCAAGGAAUUGUACUGAAAAAGAAAUUUACCAUAUCAAAACAUACACAAAAUAUGCAAUGGGUAUGAGACUUAAUACAUUUUUGAUACAAAAUACAUUAACCCCCAAAAUAUAUGUUGUAUGGAUUAACAAAAUGAGACAUACAAACAAGGACACGAUGAAGCUCAACUCGUCGAACGACAGGCUCUGAUAUGGCUCAACGCAGCUUCUAUCUGAUAAGAAAUGAGGUGACAAAAAUAUGAGCUAGCGACUCAGUGAGUGGAUAUUUGUAAAGGUCAUACUUUAUCAUUUAUAACACCUUUCUAAAUACUAGUAUAUAGUAAAAAUUUCCUUUCACAAUAUGUUAAAUUAAAAUCUUCAUUCUUUCAACUGAAUCAACUAAAUACUGUAAAAUCUAUUUCUAAAAUCUGAUAAGCUAUGUAAUACUGAAACAUCACACCAAAAAUGUACCCUGAAUAACCAUACUCGUGUAUCGAUUAAUCUCGAUAUACAUAGCAAGGUCAUUAAAUUCUGAAAUUCUGUAAUUCUGAAAUUCUGAAAUUCUGGUCAUACGCGCGCAGAGCUAUAAAAUGGUCAUACACUAUGGAAACACAUUCACAAUAGUGCAGAGCGGGUAAAAUCACUAUACUGAUCAUACGCUGUGGAAACACAUUCACACUAGCGCAGAGUGGGUAAAAUAACCAUAUGAAGUCAUACACUGUGGAAACACAUUCACACCAGUGCAGACGAGGGUAAAAUCACUUGGGUACUUUCUGGUGGUUUUAAAAAAAAAUUUGAAUAUACUGAAAUAUUUAAUACUGAAAUANNNNNNNNNNNNNNNNNNNNNNNNNNNNNNNNNNNNNNNNNNNNNNNNNNNNNNNNNNNNNNNNNNNNNNNNNNNNNNNNNNNNNNNNNNNNNNNNNNNNNNNNNNNNNNNNNNNNNNNNNNNNNNNNNNNNNNNNNNNNNNNNNNNNNNNNNNNNNNNNNNNNNNNNNNNNNNNNNNNNNNNNNNNNNNNNNNNNNNNNNNNNNNNNNNNNNNNNNNAAAAAAUGAAGUGGUGGUUCGAUGAAAUGACUAAAAUUAAUUAUUGAUUUUGACUUAAAUUUUGAUAUUCUUUUUUAGUUUAAUAUCAUUGAGCAUGUGAACUUAGUCUACAUUGCCAUGCUUGCAGUGCAAGUGGUAUUAUACUACGGUUUUGUCAUCUCUUUCUAAAAAAAGCAAUUUUGUUCAUUUUAAUUAUCAAUGAAUUUUUUUCUGGGUUUAAUUUUUGUUCAUGUUCAUUCGUAGAAAUGGUAGAUGCUAUGAAAACAGUAGAAAGGCUUGAUAUCAAACCGAGAGGCAUGGACGUCACUUGCAGGGUAGAAUGCGAUUGGAGCUCGAAGGGUUUCAUGGAGGAUUCUAUCGUUGGUCGAGCAAAAGGAAAUCACGAAGGGGCAUUAAUAGAAGCGUAUAGGCAGAAAGUUGAAUUGGAGUUGUCCAAUAUCUAUACCGAUAUCAUCGUUAUGGUUAUUAUCGAUGGAUAUAUGAUUCCUUUAUCAUGAGAAAGUGAAUCCACCACAUUGAUAUAUGAAUAGAAUUAAGUUCAUUUAUGGCAAGCAUAUAGAGCUCCAAGAAAUGUUUGGUAUGUUGGACUCAAACAUAAUUAUCGAACAAUAUAUUUACAUGACUUGUUUAUUUGUUAAAGUAAUUAUAUUGAGGCCAUGCUUUUUUCUUUUUCUUUUUUCUUUUUUCUUUUUUCCUUUUUGCUUUUUGCAUCAUAUUUAAUUGCACUUAAGGUCCUCAACCUUUUUCCAUUGUAGCAAUUAUAUCUUAAAUUUUCUUCACGUAUUUUAAACUUCAAUCUUUCAUUAAUUAGCAUAUCUUGUUCCUGAUAUUUUUUUCUGAAAGUUCAUUAGGACUGCAUAAAAGAAUUAUUUGCUAGUCAUAUUUAAAAUAAUAAUAAUAAUAAAUACAAAAGUGCAACAUAAUAAUUUCUCUAAGUUUCAUAGCAAGCAAUUAGAAUAUUUGGAUAGAAACUAUCAUUGAAGACGAAAUGUGUUAACUAAUAGAUAGUUGAAGAUCGAUGAAAAUCUGGAAGAAAUAUUGUCACCUGAGGUUAAAAUCAAAGGAUACAGCAGUGAUAAGCUUUUACAUAAUGAUGCUAAUAAAAAAUGACAGGGAGAGGAGACACUAGCAAAACUACCAACCAAUAUUUCUUUUGCUCAGCAUCGUUGUUUAAGGAAAAAGACAUCUAUUGCCAAAAUAAUCAAGGAAAUGGCUUAAAGCCUAAAGGUGUUAACCAUGGAGAAUGCUCCUUUGCGCUCAAAAGUGAGAAUCCAGGAGGAAAUUGACAAGGUGAUGUCUGUAGAAAUGCAGAAAGGUGCGCUUCUAGCUCCUUUCACGAAAAGAUUAGCAAUAUGUGGUUUGGAGAUAAAAAAGAAGAGGAAAGAGCGAUAUAAGAAUAAUCCACAAUAGGAAUGUCUAUAGAUGAGUUAAGCUCUCGCGAUAGGAGAUCAACUCAAUAUUACCAUCAAGGAGAUCGGAGAGCUAAAAACUAUAAAGACACUUCAUACAGUACUCUACCAAUGAAGGAGUAUGAAGAUCAGACGGCUAGAUCAUAUGAAAUAGAUGAUGGUAAUGAAUGUAUACCUUUUUCUAGGAAAAUCAAAGAGGUGCCAAUCCCAGACAAUUUUGUUUGCCUUAUAAUAUAGAAGUACAAUGAAAUAUGAGAUCCUAUGUAUCAUUUAUCCGAGCAUAUAAGACAAACGAAAUUGAAAAAGGCAAGCCAUAAAACCCCUAGUAGAUAAUACUACAUGUAUGGUUGAAAAGAAUGGAAACGUGCUUGAAAAUUCUUUUCUAAGGAAUGAAGUAUUUGAAGUUACGAAGAAAGUUAAAAGACUUAUCUGACAACAAAGAUAGCUUGGCCAGUACUAAAAGAAGCAUGGAUCUUGAAACAUAGACCAACACUGAACCUCAAAUAACUAAAGGCGAAGUCUAUCUCGCCAAAAAUUUCUACUGAAGGCGACGUUUAUCCAACCUAAAGAAUACUGGGACUAAUUUCCACCCCAAAGAAAAUUAUUGUCAAAAAAGGACUACGCCAGAUCCAGGCAAACUUAAAUGUCAUGACAUAUACGUAACAGUACACGAAGUACUCAUAUAAUGAAAAGUCAUGGGAUGGGAGAAUAGUAAUCUGCAUCCCUUUAUAUUGUUACAAUGUUUAAUUUGGAAAGCUACAAUUAUCAAAAUGCAAAAUCAGCAUAAGAAUGAUAGAUUCUGUUGUUCAUAUAAUUCAUUAUAAGUGCAUCUAUGAGAAGCACAAUUAAGUAACAAAUGAACAACACAAUGCGAGCUCAAAAAGAUUGCCAAAUGAACCAAUUUGUACAACAUAAACAAUAAUAUUUCAUUAAUAAAAAAAAUGAUGAGACAAAAAGCAAGCUAUUUAUCUAAAUCGACAAAUGGGGUCAUCUUGCAUAAUUGGUGUGUUACCCUCAAAGGGCACACUCAAUUCGGGAGAAUGAGAAACGUCAGUAAAAUCUUCAGUUUGUUCAUCAUUAGCAGGGGCUUCGCUAAAAGGAAUAACUGCAAAUUUUGUAAGAUGGGCCAGCUCGACAGAAGUGGAUGGAUUGUCAGAAGUCGGGCAGCUAACGGAGUUACACUCAUGGAUUUUGCUCUUCUACCAGCCUGUAAAUGAUCUGGCAGAGGAGCCUCUCUCACAGCAAUGGGUCAUUCAAUUGGACCCAUUAUUAAAAAAAUGUCAAAAAACACCCACCCCACCCCCAAAUGUGAGUGAAGCUACUCUACCAGUUCAUUUACAGGUAUGGUAGAGCAGCACGGUCCUACACUCAUAGAAAAAAGUGUUCUCGACGUCCUUUUCGCGAACAUCCAAAAAAUUUGAACCUCACUCAGGAUGAAAACGCCUAAUAAUGUUAACAACCUGGUUGCUCUUAACCUGCAUGGCAUCCUCUAAAAGCUUCGCCUCAUUAGAUUUCACCUUAGAAAGGCAAGACUUCUCAAGAGACAACUUUGUCUCAGUAUUCUAUAGCUGAUUAAGAAGUGAGGCCUUUUCACCCUUCGCCUUAUCCAAGUCCUUAGGGAUGGCAAAUGGUUCGGCCUUAACAGUCUAAAGCUUCUCUCUAAGGCGUAAAAGCUCAAAAUCAGAAGUCUCUUUCGCAGCAAAUGCCUCAAAACUUAUACUUAUCUCCUUGAACCUUUUCUUCUCUUUCUCAGCUUCAUUCAACUGUUUUUGGAGAGUUUCAUACUUUAUACUUUUUCUCUAAGAGAAUCGACUUUCUUCUCCAAUUUGUCAGCCCACAAAAUAUAGACAUUAUAUUUAGUCUCUGAACAUGAUGGAGAACAACAGUAUGCAAGAGAUGAUCAUCGAUCAUAUUUUUCCUUUAUUUGGAGGUCAUACCCUCUGCAAACUCCUCCCAAGUAGAGUUAAAAUACAUAAAGGUAGAUCUAUUAGCCCUGAAAAGAAAUGAGGGAAUCAUUAAUAACGCCUUAAGGUCCAACUCCUCGUUGAGGGGGAAAAAUAAAAUCUUGGUGUCAGCUAUGUUUUCUGACCCCUUUAACAUCUUUCUCUGGAAAAAACCGUAUGUAACGAAGGGAGGUUAUUGAAGCGUGUCCGCCCCCUCACAAACACGCGGGCCCCAUGUGUAUUUAAUAAUGUCGAGCCAUGGUCUCCACUUUGAUGAUGUGAGUGGGGUGUAAACGAUUGCGUAAAUAAUUAUAUAUGUGUAGCACGGUCUUCUUUCUUUUCCCCCUUAGUGGGGUCCAUUGCUAAGUAUAGCAAUGAUUGAGAUCCAGAUUGUGUGGGUAAAGACUCCGAGUCGAAGUACAUGCGAACCACUGGCCCCUUGAGAUGGUCUUAGUCGUACUUUCGCUUUUACUCCAGGACUCUGUGUUUCUUCAACAUAAAGAACGACAUCAAAAAGAGGCAUCCUUAAAUCAAAAAAUUUAAGCCUCGAAGACAUGGAAUGUACUGUGAAAAAAUAGAUCAAAAUAAGCAAAUGGUAAACCAGAAACACAUACCUAGAUAGAAAAUGAUAACGAAGGAAAGCAGAAUCGUCGAUAAGCAAGAAUAAUCGCUGCAGAAAGCAGUGGUAAGGUGAAGGGUAUAUUUAUAUAUUCAAACAAAAGGUUUGGACCGUCGAUUGGAUCAGCAAUGGAUCUUGACCAUUUGAACCCCUCAUUUAAUCGUAGCCGUCAAGUGUUAACGGGAGCCUGACCGAGUUUAAAAAAUAUAAGGAUAAGAUCGUAACUUUAAAUCCUAUAGUCAUGAACCUGAAAGAAAUCCUCAUGUCUCCUCAAAACGGCCCACGUCAUACAUCACUUACCAAAAAAAUGUGCAAACAAUAAUAGGUUCGCAAUGCAGAAAAAGAAAUAGCGAGUCCUAUAUUUAAUGCGAAUAUUAAAAUCAGAUUAUGAGGAUUAUUUCUUAACCAAUAAAACUCGCUCUGCAAAUUUUAUUGAAUUCCUUGCUAAAUAUAUAGUAGUAUAGUAGUAUGCGAGACGAACAAAAGCAUGAAAGGUUCGCGUAAAAUAAAUGCAAAUCGCUCCUACGUUCAGAUUGGCUAUAAGCUGUCACUAUAACAUAAAGCUUGAUACUUAUAACGGAAUCAAUUACUAAGAAGCCAACAAGGAGCUGGCAUUUGUUAUUCCUCUAAAAUGACCAAAGUCCCCGAAGAUUUAGAGGAAAAUUUAUAAAUACCUCCUUCAUUCAAAGAAAAAAAUAAUGCAACUCAAAUAUUUUACUUUCAAAUAACUAUUUCUCUUCUUGCUCCAAUUUAAAGAGGGACCCCUCGUCUUUUGGUGCACACUUGUUAAAAGUUUGAAGCUUCAGUUGUUAGAAAUCAAAAGUUUGAGACCUCUUUAUAUUUUAAUUCUAAAAUACUUAAAACGUUAUUAUCUUAUUUAUUAUAAAGAAUUAUUCACCCCUAACAUGGGGGUUUAACUUAGGGGUUUAUCGGAUUAUAUCAUGUAUUUGACGUUAACUUAGAUUUACUGUAGUAGAUACAAUUGCAUGAGUCAAUUCUAACAUAAUCAUAAACUACAGAAUAAAAAGUGUAUUUUCGUAAUUAAUUAAUUAAUUAAUCCGAAUAUUAAUGUUUUCCUAAAUUUUUAAAGUUUCAAAUAUCAUUCUAACUAAAAUUAUACAGAUUUUUUUUAGGGAAAAAACCAUAAUAACAUUCUCACUACUUUCACGUUUUAGUAAUAUAUUUUUCUUUUCUUUUCUUAUUAAUCUUUAUUUAGCUUUUAUGACCAUAAACAAAGAAUAUAAGAUGAAUUCUAGUGAAUAUGAUGACAUGUCAAAGUACAAACAAUUGUUAUUUUAUCGUGGUACAAAAUAGAAUAAUAUAAAACUCGACUUUACGAGAACUAGAUUUGUUAAGUUUAUAAAGUGUUCCAUUACAAAUGUUCAAACUUUUCAACGUCGUAGAGACUUACAUUAUAUUUACAAAUUAAAUUAAUUAGAGUAUUGUCUAUACCAAAGAUCAGCUUGAUAAAUUUUAUUGCGAUAUGGCGUAAUCCUUAAUACAAAACACACCCUAAAAGGUAAAAUCCUUCAAGUAGAUGAUACGUCUAUAUACAAAUAACUGCAUAAUUUACCUUGGUAUGAAUUCAAGAAACACCAAAAUGACUUGUGGGUAAUCCAAAUUUGAUAAUUCGUCCCUAGCAGAUGUCACAAACAGCCUCAGAAAAAGAUUGCACCGUUUGAAAUUCAACAAUUUGUAGCAAAAGAGAGAUCAAAUUGUAUCUUCUUGUUAGAUAAGAUUUUGAAAUAUAUCAAAAACCCUCAACAUCAAACUACAUUGAGUAAAUGAUAUGGGACAAUUUUUAUAAUUUAUUAAAAGGAAACCACUCCCCUUAUAAAUAGAACCGAGGGAAGUACUAUAAUUUCCACCUCAAAAUCUUGCUUUUCAUAUUUAGUAAGAAGUUGUGUCUAAGAAAAUGACGCCGAAAACUUUUAUUGUCUUCGGUCUCCUUUUUGCGAGUCUAUUCAUCAUGUCAGCUACUGGAGACGAUACAUGACACGACCCGUCCCGAUCACCCUAAUGGAUCCGACACGUGUCGUGCGCCGAUGGUAGAUACCAGCUAAAUGCCGGACCCACCACCAAGGCAAACUUGACAUGCUUUGACUGUAAUAAUUUUAUAAAAAUUUCGGCAGAGUUUCCUCUGAAAAAUGGACUAAAACCACCUGAGAAUAAAACCAAAAAUCCCAAACAUAUACACAUACUUUAAAAUAGGGUACACAAGCCCAUCAAAAUACUAAUUCAUCAAGGAAUUGUACUGAAAAAGAAAUUUACCAUAUCAAAACAUACACAAAAUAUGCAAUGGGUAUGAGACUUAAUACAUUUUUGAUACAAAAUACAUUAACCCCCAAAAU
rnacentral:lncRNA from 1 species